rnacentral:rRNA from 1 species
GAUGAACGCUAGCGGCAGGCCUAAUACAUGCAAGUCGAACGGUGUCUUCGGACAUAGUGGCGCACGGGUGCGUAACACGUAUGCAACCUACCUUACAUUGGGGGAUAGCCUUUCGAAAGGGAGAUUAAUACCGCAUAAGACAGUAGCUGGGCAUCCAGCAGCUGUUAAAGAUUUAUCGAUGUAAGCUGGGCAUGCGUCCAAUUAGCUAGUUGGUGAGGUAACGGCUCACCAAGGCAAUGAUGGGUAGGGGAACUGAGAGGUCAAUCCCCCACACGGGCACUGAGAUACGGGCCAGACUCCUACGGGGGGCAGAAGUAGGGAAUAUUGGGAAAGGGACGCAGGUCUGACCCAGCCAUGCCGCGUGCAGGAUGAAGGCGUUAUGCGUUGUAAACUGCUUUUAUACAGGAAGAAACGACUCUUGCGAGAGGCAUUGACGGUACUGUAUGAAUAAGCACCGGCUAACUCCGUGCCAGCCGCCGCCGUAAAAC